rnacentral:lncRNA from 1 species
ACUGUGGGUAUGGAAAUAUGUCAAACCCAAAUACCUAUCCAUAUAUUUCUUGAUCUGAUGAUGAUCACUUGAUUGAUGAACCAAUAGAAAUAUUUUCUACUGUUCAUCCUUACUAUAGCUAGAGACUCUCAAAGUGAUCACAUAGGAUGUUCUCUCCUCCUAUAAAGAGUGAUCGAUUCUUUGUUGAUCACUCACAACAUCCAUGCACACUUCACUAUACCCA